UGCCCACUGAUGUAAAUUGAAGGGCUGCAGUAUUUUGACUGUACAAAGGUAGCAUAAUCAUUAGUCAUUUAAUUGAUGGCUUGUAUGAAAGAUUGGAUGAAAUAUAAACUGUCUUUAAUGUAAAUUGUAGAAUUUAAUUUUUAAAUUAAAAAGUUUAAAUAAAUUAAAAAGACGAGAAGACCCUAUAGAGUUUUAUUAUUUGUUUUAUUAUUUUUAUUUGUAGUUAAAGUAUUUAAAUAUGAUGAAUAAUUUUAUUGGGGUGAUAGAAAAAUUAAAUUAACUUUUUUUUUAUAUUUAACAUAAAUAAGUGGUUAAUUGAUCCAUUAUUAAUGAUUAUAAGAAAAAAUUACCUUAGGGAUAACAGCGUAAUUUUUUUUUUUAGUUCAUAUAAGAAAAAAAGUUUGCGACCUCGAUGUUGGAUUAAGAUAAAGUUUAGAUGCAGUAGUUUAAAGUUUUGA
rnacentral:rRNA from 1 species